UGGGGAAUCAUGGUCAAUGGGCGAAAGCCUGAACCUGCGACGCCGCGUGAGUGAUGAAGGUCGUAAGAUCGUAAAACUCUUUUCAGGGAUCUUAAAGCCUGUCUGUCAACAACAGCUGUGUCUGACUCUCCCUGGAAGAAGCCCCAGCCAACUACGUGCCAGCAGCUGCGGUAAUACGUAGGGGGCGAGCGUUAUUCGGAAUUACUGGGUGUAAAGGGUAUGUAGGCGGCCCUUCAAGUCGCGUGUCAAAGUCCAGUGCUCAACGCUGGGUGUGCGCGCGAUACUGACGGGCUUGAGGGCUGGAGAGGUGAGCGGAAUUCCCGGUGUAGUGGUAAAAUACGUAGAGAUCGGGAGGAACACCAGCGGCGCAGGCGGCUCACUAGACAGUUUCUGACGCUAAGAUACGAAAGCGUGGGGAGCAGACA
rnacentral:rRNA from 1 species